GCUCCGUAGGUGAACCUGCGGAGGGAUCAUUACAGAGUUCAUGCCCUACCGGGUAGAUCUCCCACCCUAUGUUAUUAUUACUUUGUUGCUUUGGCGGGCCGUCAGGCUCCGGCCCGACUACCGGCCCCGGCUGGUAAGCGCCCGCCAGAGGACCCAAAACCCUGAAUAUUAGUGUCGUCUGAGUACUAUAUAAUAGUUAAAACUUUCAACAACGGAUCUCUUGGUUCU
rnacentral:misc_RNA from 1 species